rnacentral:tRNA from 1 species
GCUCUAGUGGCGCAAUUGGUUAGCGCACGGUACUUAUACAACAGUAUUAGUGAGCAAUGCCGGGGUUGUGAGUUCGAGCCUCACCUAGAGCA